rnacentral:rRNA from 1 species
UACGUAGGGAGCAAGCGUUGUUCGGAUUGACUGGGCGUAAAGCGCACGCAGGCGGAUGCGCGCGUGGGGUGUGAAAUCUGGCCGCUUAACGGCCAGGCGCCAUCCCAUACGGCGCGUCUGGAGUGAUGCAGAGGUCGAUGGAAUUGCCGGUGUAGUGGUGAAAUGCGUAGAGAUCGGCAGGAACACCCAGGGGGAAACCAGUCGACUGGGCAUCUACUGACGCUGAGGUGCGAGAGCGUGGGGAGCGAACCGG